UUUUUUUUUUUUUUUUUAGAUGGAGUCUCGUUCUGCUGCCAAGGCUGGAGUACAGUGGCGCGAUCUCGGCUCACUGCAAGCUCCGCCUCCCGGGUUCACGCCAUUCUCCUGCCUCAGCCUCCCGAGUAGCUGGGAGUACAGGCGCCGCCACCACGCCUGGCUGAUUUUUUUUGUAUUUUUACUAGAAACGGGGUUUCACCGUGUCAGCCAGGAUGGUCUCAAUCUCCUGACCUCAUGAUCCACCCGCCUUGGCCUCCCAAAGUGCUGGGAUUACAGGCGUGGGAUCAGCCAGAUUUGACUGCACAGACAGCUUCUGUUAUUCGAUCUGCACACUGUGAAACUAAGUAUGACAAUUUCAGUCCUUUGCAAGAUACAUAGCCUAAUAAUUCUAAUAACCAUAUACUGUUAUGUCUACAUAAGCAGACAGACCAAAAUAAAUUUACUCAAAACUCAAAGCUUUCAAACGGUAAAGAAUAAAUUGAUACAUUUAUGGUUUUAAUCUCAUUGAAUCCUCCAAUAGGAGAGUCACUUGUCUAAGACCUCGCAGCUUUUAAUGAGUAGAGCAGGGAUGAGGGCCCACAUUCAUAUCCAGAGCUCCCGGCAGGGCACCCAGGUUUAUCACCUGAGAAUGGCAUCGAUGAGAGAAGCGGCCAUAGGAGAGGGAAGGGACAUGGAGUGGCCCACCUCCUCACAAGAUAAGACCCUAAUAAUAGGGGCAAGAUGUGAAAAACCAGAGAUGCACAUGCACAAACAGGUUAUCAGUCUCAUGAACACAGAACAUCAUUUGGUAAUGAAACAAAAAUAGUCUAGCCAGGCACAGUGGCUCAUGCUUACAAUCCCAGCACUUUGGGAGGCCGAGGCGGGAGGAUCACUUGAGGCUAGGAGUUGGAGACCAGGGGUUUUUAGAAAUUCCAUCUCUAAAAAAAAAAAAAAAAAGUCAGGAGUUUUUCAGAUCAUUUUAAAGGUGUGACUAGCGCAUACCACAAAAAGAAACUAAAAGAAGAACUAUGAACUAAUAUUCAUUGGGAUUUUAGUUUAACUCUGAUACUUACACCAUAAUGCACAUUCUCUAAGCACUCCAAAUCUCAACUUCCUGUAAAACUAUUUUCCAGAACAUUUGCUUACCCUAUUUAAGAGCAUAACCUUACCACCUUCUCCUCCACAGGCAAGGGCAGUUUGUAUGGAAAAGAGCAUGGCCCUAAAGCCAGCAAGGCAAAAGGAGAAAAAACCUUAUUCUCUUCCUCGUGAUUUAGUGUGGUGAUGCUGUUCAAGCCUUUUUCACCCAUGCUUCCUUUUGAUAAACAUAAAAUAUCUCACGCCCUCC
rnacentral:lncRNA from 1 species